rfam:Ixodes scapularis strain Wikel colony gcontig_1107729173468, whole genome shotgun sequence.
GCCUCGGUGGCUCCGAAGCGAGAGCGCCGGCCUACGGAUCCCCAGGUGGCGGGUUCGAAUCCCGACCGAGGUG